AGUUAUUUGUUUGGGUAACAACAGAUUUUGAAAAUCUACAAUAAAUGUUCGAAUCAUUUAAUAACUU
rfam:Helobdella robusta unplaced genomic scaffold HELROscaffold_8, whole genome shotgun sequence.